rnacentral:hammerhead_ribozyme from 1 species
AAGCGAAACCAGCUACCGGGAACGGUGGUUGGUCUGCCCGGCAUGGUGGCCGGGCACUGAUGAGCAGCCAAUU